rnacentral:rRNA from 1 species
AUGAACGCUAGCUACAGGCUUAACACAUGCAAGUCGAGGGGCAGCAUGAACUUAGCUUGCUAAGUUUGAUGGCGACCGGCGCACGGGUGAGUAACACGUAUCCAACCUGCCGAUGACUCGGGGAUAGCCUUUCGAAAGAAAGAUUAAUACCCGAUGGCAUAGUUCUUCCGCAUGGUAGAACUAUUAAAGAAUUUCGGUCAUCGAUGGGGAUGCGUUCCAUUAGGUUGUUGGCGGGGUAACGGCCCACCAAGCCUUCGAUGGAUAGGGGUUCUGAGAGGAAGGUCCCCCACAUUGGAACUGAGACACGGUCCAAACUCCUACGGGAGGCAGCAGUGAGGAAUAUUGGUCAAUGGACGAGAGUCUGAACCAGCCAAGUAGCGUGAAGGAUGACUGCCCUAUGGGUUGUAAACUUCUUUUAUACGGGAAUAAAGUGAGGCACGUGUGCCUUUUUGUAUGUACCGUAUGAAUAAGGAUCGGCUAACUCCGUGCCAGCAGCCGCGGUAAUACGGAGGAUCCGAGCGUUAUCCGGAUUUAUUGGGUUUAAAGGGAGCGUAGGCGGACGCUUAAGUCAGUUGUGAAAGUUUGCGGCUCAACCGUAAAAUUGCAGUUGAUACUGGGUGUCUUGAGUACAGUAGAGGCAGGCGGAAUUCGUGGUGUAGCGGUGAAAUGCUUAGAUAUCACGAAGAACUCCGAUUGCGAAGGCAGCUUGCUGGACUGUAACUGACGCCGAUGCUCGAAAGUGUGGGUAUCAAACAGGAUUAGAUACCCUGGUAGUCCACACAGUAAACGAUGAAUACUCGCUGUUUGCGAUAUACAGUAAGCGGCCAAGCGAAAGCGUUAAGUAUUCCACCUGGGGAGUACGCCGGCAACGGUGAAACUCAAAGGAAUUGACGGGGGCCCGCACAAGCGGUGGAGCAUGUGGUUUAAUUCGAAGCAACGCGAAGAACCUUACCAGGGCUUGACAUAUAGAUGAAUAUAUAAGAGAUUAUAUAGCUCUUCGGAGCAUCUAUACAGGUGGUGCAUGGUUGUCGUCAGCUCGUGCCGUGAGGUGUCGGCUUAAGUGCCAUAACGAGCGCAACCCUUAUCGAUAGUUACCAUCAGGUUAUGCUGGGGACUCUGUCGAGACUGCCGUCGUAAGAUGUGAGGAAGGUGGGGAUGACGUCAAAUCAGCACGGCCCUUACGUCCGGGGCUACACACGUGUUACAAUGGGGGGUACAGAAGGCAGCUACACGGCGACGUGAUGCUAAUCCCUAAAGCCUCUCUCAGUUCGGAUUGGAGUCUGCAACCCGACUCCAUGAAGCUGGAUUCGCUAGUAAUCGCGCAUCAGCCACGGCGCGGUGAAUACGUUCCCGGGCCUUGUACACACCGCCCGUCAAGCCAUGAAAGCCGGGGGUACCUGAAGUGCGUAACCGCAAGGAGCGCCCUAGGGUAAAACUGGUGAUUGGGGCU